rnacentral:rRNA from 1 species
GACAGAGGGUGCAAACGUUGCUCGGAAUCACUGGGCGUAAAGGGCGUGUAGGCGGGAAGGAAAGUCAGAUGUGAAAUCCCUGGGCUCAACCCAGGAACUGCAUUUGAAACUCCCUUUCUUGAGUGUCGGAGAGGAAAGCGGAAUUCCUGGUGUAGAGGUGAAAUUCGUAGAUAUCGGGAGGAACACCGGUGGCGAAGGCGGUUCUCUGGGCCUUACCUGACGCUGAGGAGCGAAAGCGUGGGGAGCGAACAGG